rnacentral:rRNA from 1 species
GACCGGGUGCGUAGCGGGGGCAAUCUGCCCUUCACUCUGGGACACCCUGAUAAACGGGUAAUACCGGAUACCCCUCUGGCCCCGGGGGGGUUAAAAUUCCGGUGGAGGAUGAUGAACCCGCGGACUAUCCGCUUGUUGGUGGGGUAAUGGCCUACCCGGCGACCACGGGCAGCCGGCCUGAGAGGGCGACCGGCCACGCUGGGACUGAUACACGGGCCCUACUCCUACGGGAGGNCUCAUUGGGGAAUAUUGCACAAUGGGCGAAAGCCUGAUGCAGCCACACCGCGUGAGGGAUGACGGCCUUCGAGUUGUAUACCUCUUUCAAACUGGAAGAAUGACGGUACCUGCCGAAGAAGCCCCUGAU